CAGAAUCAUACCGGGAUGGAAUGAUCUACCUGAUGGUUUCGAGUAACUCAGUUCUGAUUAUUAAAUUUUCAAGGGGGUUAUCUUCAGAAAUUACAACAUAACUAAACAAAUCUAAUCACGCUCCUAAUUACUUUACAGCAGUCAUUUCCGAUAAUUUAUUGCUCCCUGGACGAUAAGAACUGAAACAUCUUCAGUAGGCGCAUUUGCGGGGCACCAGUAAACCUACUGUCGCUGCCAACUCAUCCAUUUCACCCAAACGGGAACAUAUGGAACAAUGGCAAUUCCCGAGUCAAAGAUAACCACGGAUAAUGACACUAAAUUUGUCGGAGAUGUAGGAUGGGAUGCUCUCGUUGUUGUCAUCAUAUAAAUCAAAGAAGGCUGGUUGCUUUGGAUAUCUAGCUGUGAGGAGAAAGACAUUAGGGGCUGUGCAUUGAUUACUGGACUGGACAACUGAUGGACCGGCAACGAUGGUGAAUGGUUCAGGAAGUCACACUUGUUCUACGACGACGACGGUGACGACGACACAAGCAGCUGAUAGCCACUCACUCAGCAGAUAGCUCGGACACGACGAGAAAAGAACCAUGAUGAGGGCCUCAAUUCAUAAAAAGAAUCGUGAUGAGCUUGGACCCGUCCCGGGUAAGAUAAGCUGAACACCAAUAACUCGUUAAUCAUUGCGUCAUCGUUCCCGUUAGCUUUAUGUGGUCUCUGCAACUGGUCAGUGAAGAAGGGUUGCUGCCUUUAACGAUGACAAUUUUAUGCAAAAAGAGUUGAUAACAACUUACGUCGACCUCCCAUAAAUGUUUGUUAUAAAACGGGUAAUUACCAGCAUUACUGAUAUCGAACCACAACAGGAGAAGUUACCCUACUCAUCAUGGUUUUUAAUUCUACUUGUUCCAGUCAAACAUGUGUAAAAGCAGUUGUUAAUGCUGUGGAUGUAUUUCCUCCGUGAUGGAUGAGCUAAACAGCUGGAACGUGGUGAACUAGGGCCACAUUGCAUCCAUGAGAAUAAGGUUAAGAAGAGCGGUGCAUCGGACAACCGGUUUGGCGAUAAGUAUAUUAAGGCAGUAGGAACAAAAACUUGUAAUAUGGCUGCACUUCGUAGUAAAACUAGUUAUUUA